rnacentral:rRNA from 1 species
GCCUCCCAAAAGGUAACGGAGGCGCUCAAAGGUUCUCUCAGUACGGUCGGAAAUCGUACGUAGAGUGUAAAGGCAAAAGAGAGCUUGAUUGCAAGACAUACAGGUCGAGCAAGGAUGAAAAUCGGACUUAGUGAUCCGGUGGUUCUGCGUGGAAGGGCCAUCGCUCAACGGAUAAAAGCUACCCUGGGGAUAACAGGCUGAUCUCCCCCAAGAGUCCACAUCGACGGGGAGGUUUGGCACCUCGAUGUCGGCUCAUCACAUCCUGGGGCUGUAGUAGGUCCCAAGGGUUGGGCUGUUCGCCCAUUAAAGUGGUACGCGAGCUGGGUUCAGAACGUCGUGAGACAGUUCGGUCCCUAUCCGUCGCAGGCGUAGGAAAUUUGAGAAGACCUGUCCUUAGUACGAGAGGACCGGGAUGGACGUACCUCUGGUGUACCAGUUGU